AGGAAGGAGAAGUCGUAACAAGGUUUCCGUAGGUGAACCUGCGGAAGGAUCAUUGUCGAAACCUGCACAGCAGAACGACCCGCGAACGUGUUAUUCUACACACGGGUGCUCGGGGGGGCUCCGGCCCUCUCGCUGCCCCGAGUGCUGGGCGGAGCGACGCGAGGAGCUGCCUCGCGCCCUCCCCGUGCGCUCUUCCCAGCUAAACAACCAACCCCGGCGCAGGACGCGCCAAGGAAAAAUGAAACGAAAUGAGCGCGCUCCCGUCGGCCCCAGAAAUGGAACAGCCCUCGGGACGCGUCGACCUCUUUCGAGAACCAAAACGACUCUCGGCAACGGAUAUCUCGGCUCUCGCAUCGAUGAAGAACGCAGCGAAAUGCGAUACUUGGUGUGAAUUGCAGAAUCCCGCGAACCAUCGAGUCUUUGAACGCAAGUUGCGCCCGAAGCCUUUUGGCCGAGGGCACGCCUGCCUGGGUGUCACGCAACCGUCGCUCCAACCCCCUCUGCCCUUGGCGAGGGGUGCGGGGCGGAUUAUGGCCUCCCGAGCGCUCAUCGCUCCCGGUUGGCCCAAAAUUUGAGUCCCCGGCUAUGAACGCCACGACAAUCGGUGGUUGCAAGACCUUCGGACACAGUCGUGUGCGCCCGUCGGCCCAUGAACUCACAGACCCGUUGCGUACCGAAGUGCACGCUCCCAUUGCGACCCCAGGUCAGGCGGGAACACCCGCUGAGU
rnacentral:rRNA from 1 species